UGGCUCUCGCAUCGAUGAAGAACGCAGCGAAAUGCGAUAAGUAAUGUGAAUUGCAGAAUUCAGUGAAUCAUCGAAUCUUUGAACGCACCUUGCGCUCCUUGGUAUUCCGAGGAGCAUGCCUGUUUGAGUGUCUUGAAGUCAUCAACCCUCCCCGCUUUUCGGCGGGGCUGGGCUUGGAGUUUGAGGGCGUUGCUGCCGAAGGGCGGCUCCCUCCAAAUGCUUCGGUUGGGCCUGCGGGUCGAACUCGACUGGGCGUUGUACCAUCCUCGCUCGACCGAGACGUUCCCCUCUGCGCCUCAACCCCGACCGCCUGUGGAGCGGCAGUCAACAAGCCAUUUGAAAUCUGACCUCAAAUCAGGUAGGACUACCCGCUGA
rnacentral:misc_RNA from 1 species